GAUGAACGCUGGCGGCGUGCCUAAUACAUGCAAGUCGAGCGAACAGACGAGGAGCUUGCUCCUCUGACGUUAGCGGCGGACGGGUGAGUAACACGUGGAUAACCUACCUAUAAGACUGGGAUAACUUCGGGAAACCGGAGCUAAUACCGGAUAAUAUAUUGAACCGCAUGGUUCAAUAGUGAAAGACGGUUUUGCUGUCACUUAUAGAUGGAUCCGCGCCGCAUUAGCUAGUUGGUAAGGUAACGGCUUACCAAGGCAACGAUGCGUAGCCGACCUGAGAGGGGGAUCGGCCACACUGGAACUGAGACGCGGUCCAGACUCCUACGGGAGGCAGCAGUAGGGAAUCUUCCGCAAUGGGCGAAAGCCUGACGGAGCAACGCCGCGUGAGUGAUGAAGGUCUUCGGAUCGUAAAACUCUGUUAUUAGGGAAGAACAAAUGUGUAAGUAACUAUGCACGUCUUGACGGUACCUAAUCAGAAAGCCACGGCUAACUACGUG
rnacentral:rRNA from 1 species